UCUGCCCGGUGAUGAAUUUUAAACGGCCGCGAUUUGCGCUAAGGUAGCAUAAUCAUUCGCCCUUUAAUUGGGGGCUAGUAUGAAAGGGGAAACGGGGAAAAGCUGUUUCAUUAAUAAAUCUAAAAAUUAAUCAAGAUGUGAAAAUGCAUCUAUAAAUUAGAGGGACCAAAAGACCCUAGGAUCUUUAAUUUUGAGCAAUUUUAUUGGUUAAAAAUUUUUGUUGGGGAAACACGAAGUUAUUUACUUUGAGUUAUUAAUUUAUGACUUUAAGAUGCGUAAAAAGUUACCCUAGGGAUAACAGGCCCAUCUUUUUUGAGAGUUCAAAUUUACAAAAAGGAUUGGCACCUCGAUGUUGGCUUAAGAACAACCCAGGUGCAGUAGUUUGGGGAAAAGGCUU
rnacentral:rRNA from 1 species